rnacentral:rRNA from 1 species
AAUGAACGCUGGCGGCGUGCCUAACACAUGCAAGUCGAACGAGAAAACGGGCUUCGGCCCGUGAGUACCAGUGGCAGACGGGUGAGUAACACGUGGGUAACCUACCCGGAGGUGGGGGAUAACCCUCCGAAAGGAGGGCUAAUACCGCAUGAUAUCUCGAGCUCUUCGGCGCACGAGAUCAAAGCUGGCCUCUACACGUAAGCCAGUGCCACCGGAGGGACCCGCGUCCCAUUAGCUUGAUGGUGAGGUAACGGCUCACCAUGGCUACGAUGGGUAGCCGGCCUGAGAGGGUGAUCGGCCACACUGGAACUGAGACACGGUCCAGACUCCUACGGGAGGCAGCAGUGAGGAAUUUUGCGCAAUGGGCGAAAGCCUGACGCAGCGACGCCGCGUGGAGGAAGAAGGUCUUCGGAUCGUAAACUCCUGUCAAGAGGGAAGAAUGCCGACGGGAUGAAUAAGCCCGACGGUUGACGGUACCUCUGAGAAGCCCCGCUAACU